UACGUAGGGUGCGAGCGUUGUCCGGAAUUAUUGGGCGUAAAGAGCUUGUAGGCGGUCUGUCGCGUCUGCUGUGAAAAUCCGGGGCUCAACCCCGGACUUGCAGUGGGUACGGGCAGACUAGAGUGUGGUAGGGGAGACUGGAAUUCCUGGUGUAGCGGUGAAAUGGCAGAUAUCAGGAGGAACACCGGUGGCGAAGGCGGUGGUCUGGGCCGGAACUGACGCUGAGGAGCGAAAGCGUGGGGAGCGAACAGG
rnacentral:rRNA from 1 species